AGUCGAACGGUGGUAGCAAUACCAUAGUGGCGCACGGGUGCGUAACACGUAACUAACCUACCUAUAACUGGGGGAUAGCCCGCCGAAAGGCGGAUUAAUACCGCAUAAGCUCUUGACCCGGCAUCGGGUUAUUAGUAAAGAUUUAUUGGUUAUAGAUGGGGUUGCGGGUCAUUAGCUAGUUGGUAAGGUAACGGCUUACCAAGGCGACGAUGACUAGGGGAGCUGAGAGGCUGGUCCCCCACACGGGCACUGAGAUACGGGCCCGACUCCUACGGGAGGCAGCAGUAGGGAAUAUUGGGCAAUGGGCGAGAGCCUGACCCAGCCAUGCCGCGUGCAGGAAGAAGGCUUUCUGAGUCGUAAACUGCUUUUGACAGGGAAGAAUAAGCUGUACGUGUACAGUGAUGACGGUACCUGCAGAAUAAGCACCGGCUAACUCCGUGCCAGCAGCCGCGGUAAUACGGAGGGUGCGAGCGUUGUCCGGAUUUAUUGGGUUUAAAGGGUGCGUAGGCGGCCCGUUAAGUCCGGGGUGAAAGCCCGUUGCUCAACAACGGAACUGCCCUGGAUACUGACGGGCUUGAGUACAGACGAGGUUGGCGGAAUGGACCGAGUAGCGGUGAAAUGCAUAGAUACGGUCCAGAACCCCGAUUGCGAAGGCAGCUGACUAGGCUGUUACUGACGCUGAGGCACGACAGCGUGGGGAGCGAACAGGAUUAGAUACCCUGGCAGUCCACGCCGUAAACGAUGGAUACUCGCUGCGAGCUAAAGAUUGUUCGUGGCCUAGGGAAACCGAUAAGUAUCCCACCUGGGGAGUACGCCGGCAACGGUGAAACUCAAAGGAAUUGAC
rnacentral:rRNA from 1 species